rnacentral:rRNA from 1 species
AUUGAACGCUGGCGGCAGGCUUAACACAUGCAAGUCGAGCGGAGAUGAGGUGCUUGCACCUUAUCUUAGCGGCGGACGGGUGAGUAAUGCUUAGGAAUCUGCCUAUUAGUGGGGGACAACAUUCCGAAAGGAAUGCUAAUACCGCAUACGCCCUACGGGGGAAAGCAGGGGAUCUUCGGACCUUGCGCUAAUAGAUGAGCCUAAGUCGGAUUAGCUAGUUGGUGGGGUAAAGGCCUACCAAGGCGACGAUCUGUAGCGGGUCUGAGAGGAUGAGCCGCCACACUGGGACUGAGACACGGCCCAGACUCCUACGGGAGGCAGCAGUGGGGAAUAUUGGACAAUGGGCGGAAGCCUGAUCUAGCCAUGCCGCGUGUGUGAAGAAGGCCUUUUGGUUGUAAAGCACUUUAAGCGAGGAGGAGGCUACCUGGAUUAAUACUCUAGGAUAGUGGACGUUACUCGCAGAAUAAGCACCGGCUAACUCUGUGCCAGCAGCCGCGGUAACAC